CGGUCGCUUGGGAAGCGGGCAAUCUCGACGCCCAGGGCGUCGGGUCGGGUUCGGGUCCCGGCGACUUC
rnacentral:tRNA from 2 species